GCGGGCGUAGCUCAGUUGGUUAGAGUGCCAGAUUGUGAUUCUGGAUGUCGGGGGUUCAAGUCCCCUCGCUCGCCCCA
rnacentral:tRNA from 1 species